AACGAACGCUGGCGGCAUGCUUAACACAUGCAUGUUGAACGCAGGAUAGGACUUCGGUUCUAUUGCUGAGUAGCAAACGGGUGAGUAACGCGUGGGAAUCUACCUUUUUGUGGGGGAUAACUGAGGGAAACUUCCGCUAAUACCGCAUAAGCUCUACGGAGGAAAGGCUUCGGCCGCAAGAAGAGGAGCCCGCGUCAGAUUAGGUAGUUGGUAGGGUAAAAGCCUACCAAGCCAAUGAUCUGUAGCUGGUCUGAGAGGAUGAUCAGCCACACUGGGACUGAGACACGGCCCAGACUCCUACGGGAGGCAGCAGUGGGGAAUAUUGGACAAUGGGGGAAACCCUGAUCCAGCAAUGCCGCGUGAAUGAAGAAGGCCUUAGGAUUGUAAAGUUCUUUCACCUGUGAAGAUUAUGACGGUAGCAGGAGAAGAAGCCCCGGCUAACUCCGUGCCAGCCGCCGCAGUAA
rnacentral:rRNA from 1 species